rnacentral:sRNA from 1 species
GUGGCUCGUGCCGAAGUCAUGGCCAACUC